rnacentral:tRNA from 1 species
GUCCCCGUAGCUUACAACAAAGCAUGACACUGAAGAUGUCAAGACGGUUGUCCCAUACACCCGAGGACA